GAUGAACGCUGGCGGCGUGCCUAAUACAUGCCAGUCGAGCGAACGGACGAGAAGCUUGCUUCUCUGAUGUUAGCGGCGGACGGGUGAGUAACACGUGGAUAACCUACCUAUAAGACUGGGAUAACUUCGGGAAACCGUAGCUAAUACCGGAUAAUAUUUUGAACCGCAUGGUUCAAAAGUGAAAGACGGUCUUGCUGUCACUUAUAGAUGGAUCCGCGCUGCAUUAGCUAGUUGGUAAGGUAACGGCUUACCAAGGCAACGAUGCAUAGCCGACCUGAGAGGGUGAUCGGCCACACUGGAACUGAGACACGGUCCAGACUCCUACGGGAUGCAGCAGUAGGGAAUCUUCCGCAAUGGGCGAAAGCCUGACGGAGCAACGCCGCGUGAGUGAUGAAGGUCUUCGGAUCGUAAAACUCUGUUAUUAGGGAAGAACAUAUGUGUAAGUAACUGUGCACAUCUUGACGGUACCUAAUCAGAAAGCCACGGCUAACUACGUG
rnacentral:rRNA from 1 species